UCACAGCUAAUGGAGGAUCUGCCUCAUUUUCUGAAAACAAAACAGAACAAAAAAAACCAAAGCCCUGAGCCGGACUUGCCUCCUGUGAAGACUGACGCUCAUCUGGGGCUUCAGGCACGGGCUCUUUGGAAUAAGCAGCAGUGCUGUCUUCAUAAUCUUCCCUCCAAAAGUCCUCUGUGUGAAGUGAAUCAUAAUUGGCUGUGGCCUCAGGGACUCCUUCCGCAGAGCCAAGGGUGUUUAAUCCCACCUCAGUGAUAAACCAGAGGGUGCCUGCUCUCUGUAUACCAGCCAGUGGUUGUUUCUGCAUCUUUAGUGAAGCCUUGGUCAGUGGUCAACCUGAUGAAUGAGACAGAACUGUCUUAAGAUAUACUCAGUGUGCUCAGGUUCAAGGACAAAACGUCUGUCCUUGCCUAGUAUCUCUUUAUUACCUCACUCUCAGUAGCAUGUGACACAGAGGGCCAGCCUUUGAGGGGCCUGUUGUAUAGAAAUCUUUUGGUAACGACUUGGCCCUUAAAGAUGGUGCUUCGAGCAAAUAUAUAAGCCAAAAUGAGGAACUUUUCCUGUAAUUGAGAGGGCCUGGAAGGAAGAAGUGAGUAUUGCUGUACAGAUGGUACAGAACCAGAAACUUUGGAAACGUGUGACGAUCCCUAGGACGAGGAAGACAAGUCCAGCCUGAGCCUGAAUUCUUCACUGACCUCCUCCGGUCAGGGGUUCCCGUCCGCUCUUCAGUGAGCAAGAGCUGGAGGCUCAGGUUAGCGCCACUGCCUCUGCUGCGUGGUGGUACAUACAGGUGUACGUAUGUGGUCAAGUCUUCAGUAUUCCAAAGGCUAGUGGCGGUUUCUCUAAACAAUCUUUUUGUCACCUUCGUAGGACGCUGAGCGAAAGAAGCUCUCCAGUUAUAGAUGCAGAGAGGUGUCCACCAGGCUGGGUGCUGUAGCUAUUACGGACCAGCUUCUGAUACUCAGUGUGGGCGAAGGAGCCAAGCAGGCCUCCGCACUGCAUCUUCUCCCAGUGCGUGGCACACAGCAGCUGCUCAGUACACAUUGGCUGCGUGAAUGAAUUUAUAUGUAGGAGGUUCUCUGAAUGUGUUUCCAUUAGUGAUGCUGGUUAUGAAAAUCAAUAAAAUGGUGUGUAAUUGUGCACAUAAAACAGCUGCAGCCAGUCGAUCAGGUAGAACUUGGUUGUGAGGCAAACAACAGUUACCACCGUUUUUCUUCCUGGCAGAGAAAUGACAGGAAUGUCCUGUGGGAGGGCUUCUCUCAGCCUCUUCUCUUGCCCUUUAUCCGCCCGCUGUGCUCCCUCCCAGUCCUGUUUGGUCAUUAUGUUUGUGCUGUUGUUGAGAAGAGUAUUCAGAAGUAUCCCAAUUAAUGCGAACAUUUGGGCAGGGUAUUAGGUUCCUGUGUGCCGGGACCGAAGCAAUGGGGCAGCAACACUCUCCGUGCAUUUCACCCUGUGUGUGUGUGUGUGUGUGUGUGUGUGUGUGUGUGUGUGUGUGUGUGUGUGAUUAGAUUAGGAGGCUGGAGCUCUCAUGAAUGGGGUUGGUGUUUUAGGAAAGAGAUCCCCCGAAGUCCCGAAGUCCCUCCUGCCGUGUGAGGAAACCAGGAGAAGCCUGCAACCUGUGCUUUUACUUGACUGUGCCGCCACCCUGAUGGGACUUGCAGCCUCUGGAACCAUAAGCAAUAAUUUCCUGUUGCCUGUAAGCUUCCCAUCUGUGGUAUUUUGUUAUAGCAGCCUGUAUGGACCAAGACCAAGGGUCCUUAACUUGGGAGUCCUAACACACAUUGAAUGUGCACAUGAGUAUGUUUUUCUGGAGAGAGGUCCUGUAGCUUGUAUUGCCUGUUUAUUCAUUUAAUGAUAUUUGCUAUUUUACCUAUUAAGAGCCUGCUGUGUAACCUCAGGCUCCAGGUUAGAUGCUGGUAAUCGAAACCCCCUGUCGCUUAUAGGCCGAUGGUGGAGACUAACAUCAAUCCAAAAAAUCACACAAAUGACUGUACAAUUGCUGCAGCAAAAAGCGCUGUCAUGGCUCUACGAGAAGAUCCGGUGGGGAAAAUUAGCGGUUAAAGGGGCUUGAGAGGCUUCCUUGAGAAAGUGGGUCAUCCAUUCAGCAAGUAUCUCAUGCUAUGUGCCAGGCACUCUUCUUACCCCGGCGAUUCAGCAGUGAGGAGACAGAGCUUCUGCACUCAGAGCUCACGUUCUGAUGGGGAAGACAGGCGUGGGCAUCUACUGUGUGCGGAAGAAAGGUUGCUGCUUACCGAGAUGGGGAAGAUUGUGGGUGGAGCAUUUUGGGGGAGUUUUCUUUUGGACGAGGAGGUGUCAAGCCUGGGAUUCAGGGGAGAUGCUCAGGCUGGGACUGUAAAGUGGGGAGACAUCGGUUAAAGGGCGCAGGAGUCACUGAGAUCAUUCAGAGAGUGAAUAUAGAUAGAGAAGAGGUGGGGGGACUUAGCCCUGGGAGCUUUUAUAUUUAGUGGCACCAGAAAGAGGGCCGAGGGGUUGGUCAGGGAAGGAGGAGGAGAAGACAAGCUCAGAAAAAAAAGUGAAGAGGGAGAGAGGGAUGCGACACGUCCGGUGUUGCCGAUCAGGUGAGUUAAGCUGGGGACUGAGAUGACCAUUCAUUGGCUUUGGCUAUGUCUUCAGAGCAGUUUCGAAGGAGUGACAGGGGUGAGAGCCUACUGGGAAUGGGUUCAGGAGAGAAAGGGAGGAGGGAGUUAGGGAAGCAGGGCAGCACUGGAGGGGAUGGGGGCUGGUGAAGGGAGACUCCUCUGAGCCUGGCCAUCAUCCAUUUCUUCCUUUAAGAAGAACAAGUUGGAGUUCCCGUCGUGGCGCAGUGGAAACAAAUCUGACUAGCAUCCAUGAGGACGCAGGUUCAAUCCCUGGUCUUGUUCAGUGGGUUAAGGAUCCGGCGUUGCUAUGAACUGUGGUGUAGGUCACAGAUGUGGCUGGGAUCUGGUGUUGCUGUGGCUGUGGCGUAGGCCGGCAGCUACAGCUCUGAUUAGACCCCUAGUCUGGGAACCCCCAUAUGCUGCAGGUACGGCCCUAAAAAGGACGAAAAG
rnacentral:lncRNA from 1 species